UACGUAGGGUGCGAGCGUUAAUCGGAAUUACUGGGCGUAAAGCGUGCGCAGGCGGUUCGCCGUGUCCGAUGUGAAAGCCCCGGGCUUAACCUGGGAAUGGCAUUGGAAACUGGCGGGCUGGAGUAUGGCAGAGGGGGGUGGAAUUCCACGUGUAGCAGUGAAAUGCGUAGAGAUGUGGAGGAACACCGAUGGCGAAGGCAGCCCCCUGGGCCAAUGACUGACGCCUCAGGCACGAAAGCGUGGGGAGCAAAC
rnacentral:rRNA from 1 species